rnacentral:rRNA from 1 species
AAUGAACGUUGGCGGCGUGGAUUAGGCAUGCAAGUCGUGCGGAAAGGCUCCUUCGGGAGUACUCGAGCGGCGCAAGGGAGAGUAACGCGUGGAUAUCUACCCCCUGGACUGGGAUAGCGGCGGGAAACUGCCGGUAAUACCAGAUAAUGUCUGCGGACCAAAGGUGUGAUUCCGCCGGGGGAUGAGUUCGCGUCCUAUUAGCUAGUUGGUAGGGUAAUGGCCUACCAAGGCAAAGAUGGGUACCGGGUGUGAGAGCAUGGCCCGGCUCACUGGGCCUGAGACACUGCCCAGACACCUACGGGUAGCUGCAGUCGAGAAUCUUCGGCAAUGGGCGCAAGCCUGACCGAGCGACGCCGCGUGCGGGAUGAAGGCCUUCGGGUUGUAAACCGCUGUCAGAGGGGAGGAAAUGCGUGAGAGUUCUCUCUCACGUUUGACCUAUCCUCAGAGGAAGUACGGGCUAAGUUCGUGCCAGCCGCCGCCGUAACAC